rnacentral:rRNA from 1 species
AAACAUUUCUUUUUUAUAAAAAUAAAAAGUAGACUCUGCCCAGUGAUUAUUUAAAUGGCUGCAGUAUAUUAACUGUACAAAGGUAGCAUAAUAAUUUGAUUUUUAAUUGGAAUCUUGAAUGAAGGAGGUGAUGAGAUAUAAACUUUAUUAAAUUAAAAUUUUGAAUUUAAAUUUAAAGUUAAAAUACUUUAAUAUAUUUAUGGGACGAGAAGACCCUAUAGAAUUUUAUAUAAUUUAAAUUGAUUGAUUAAUAAUAAAUAAUUUAAAUUAUAUUUAUUUGGGAGGAGUGUUAAAUUUAUAAACUUUAAUUAAUAAAUACAUAUAUUUAUGAAUUUUUAAGAUUUUAUUAAUUAAUUAUAAAAUUAAAUUACCUUAGGGAUAACAGCGUAAUAUUUUUUUAUAGUUCAUAUUGAAAAAAAUGUUU